rnacentral:rRNA from 1 species
UACGGGGGGGGGCAAGCGUUGUUCGGAAUUACUGGGCGUAAAGGGCUCGUAGGCGGCCAACUAAGUCAGACGUGAAAUCCCUCAGCUUAACUGGGGAACUGCGUCUGAUACUGGAUGGCUUGAGUUUGGGAGAGGGAUGCGGAAUUCCAGGUGUAGCGGUGAAAUGCGUAGAUAUCUGGAGGAACACCGGUGGCGAAGGCGGCAUCCUGGACCAACACUGACGCUGAGGAGCGAAAGCCAGGGGAGCAAACGGG